rnacentral:rRNA from 1 species
UACGUAGGGUGCAAGCGUUAAUCGGAAUUACUGGGCGUAAAGCGUGCGCUGGCGGUUUUGUAAGUCUGACGUGAAAUCCCCGGGCUCAACCUGGGAAUUGCGUUGGAGACUGCAAGGCUAGAAUCUGGCAGAGGGGGGUAGAAUUCCACGUGUAGCAGUGAAAUGCGUAGAGAUGUGGAGGAACACCGAUGGCGAAGGCAGCCCCCUGGGUCAAGAUUGACGCUCAUGCACGAAAGCGUGGGGAGCAAACAGG